AGAUUGAACGCUGGCGGCAGGCUUAACACAUGCAAGUCGAGCGGUAACAGGUCCAGCUUGCUGGAUGCUGACGAGCGGCGGACGGGUGAGUAACGCGUAGGAAUCUACCCAGUAGCGGGGGAUAGCCCGGGGAAACCCGGAUUAAUACCGCAUACGCCCUAAGGGGGAAAGCAGGGGAUCUUCGGACCUUGCACUAUUGGAUGAGCCUGCGUCGGAUUAGCUAGUUGGUGGGGUAAAGGCCUACCAAGGCGACGAUCCGUAGCUGGUCUGAGAGGAUGAUCAGCCACACCGGGACUGAGACACGGCCCGGACUCCUACGGGAGGCAGCAGUGGGGAAUAUUGGACAAUGGGGGCAACCCUGAUCCAGCCAUGCCGCGUGUGUGAAGAAGGCUUUCGGGUUGUAAAGCACUUUCAGUGAGGAGGAAAUGGUGACGGCUAAUACCCGUUACUAUUGACGUUACUCACAGAAGAAGCACCGGCUAACUCCGUGCCAGCAGCCGCGGUAAUACGGAGGGUGCAAGCGUUAAUCGGAAUUACUGGGCGUAAAGCGCGCGUAGGCGGCUGAAUCAGUCGGGUGUGAAAUCCCUGGGCUCAACCUGGGAACUGCAUUCGAUACUGUUCAGCUGGAGUAUGGGAGAGGGCAGUGGAAUUCCACGUGUAGCGGUGAAAUGCGUAGAUAUGUGGAGGAACACCUGUGGCGAAGGCGACUGCCUGGCCCAAUACUGACGCUGAGGUGCGAAAGCGUGGGUAGCGAACAGGAUUAGAUACCCUGGUAGUCCACGCCGUAAACGAUGUCAACUAGCCGUUGGAGGACUUGAUCUUUUAGUGGCGCAGCUAACGCGAUAAGUUGACCGCCUGGGGAGUACGGCCGCAAGGUUA
rnacentral:rRNA from 1 species